rnacentral:rRNA from 1 species
GUCGAGCGCAAUCUUCGGAUUGAGCGGCGGACGGGUGAGUACCGCGUGGGAACCUAUCCUGGAGUGGGGAACAACCGCUGGAAACGGCGGCUAAUACCGCAUACGCCCUUCGGGGGAAAGAUUUAUCGCUCUGGGAGGGGCCCGCGUCCGAUUAGCUGGUUGGUGGGGUAACGGCCUACCAAGGCAACGAUCGGUAGCUGGUCUGAGAGGAUGAUCAGCCACACUGGGACUGAGACACGGCCCAGACUCCUACGGGAGGCAGCAGUGGGGAAUAUUGGGCAAUGGGCGGAAGCCUGACCCAGCCAUGCCGCGUGCGGGAAGAAGGCGCAUUGCGUUGUAAACCGCUUUUCUUCGGGGAUAAAGUUCGGAACGUCCGGAUGUGCAGGUACCGAAGGAAUAAGCACCGGCAAACUACGUGCCAGCAGCCGCGGUAAUACGUAGGGUGCAAGCGUUGUCCGGAUUUACUGGGUUUAAAGGGUGCGUAGGCGGGCUGGUAAGUCUGGGAUGAAAUGAUUUCGCUCAACGGGAUCGCUGUCCUGGAUACUGCCGGUCUUGAGACGGGAUGAGGUUGCUGGAAUGAGUGGUGUAGCGGUGAUAUGCGUAGAGAUCACUCAGAACACCGAUUGCGAAGGCAGGCAACUGGGCCCGAUCUGACGCUGAGGCACGAAAGC